UCGGAGCAAGUGUAAGAGUAUUAAAGUUCGAGGACUUGCAAUAUUUCUCAUGUGGCCAAAUAGUUCGCAUAAGUUAAAAUAAAGUCAUAUAUUAAAUAUUUGUACCUGGCGUUCUUUCCACAUUUUUGUUGUCACGACCAACAGCGUUGCUUCAGCGCACUUGGCUGAUGUCCUUGGACUAAAACUGAAUCAGUUUAGAACUGGCCCUGGUAUGGCAGCAGCCUCAGAAAGAGAUCGGGAAUUAUUCUCCACUUUCUACCUUCAAGGUGACACAGUUGAAGUUUCCCAGCAUCUCAGCCUUUUGGAAAAUGAACCGCUAGAUUUAGUCUGAUCCUGCAGAAGUGGAAACCCAACCUGUUUUCCAAGGAUUAUUCUCCGUGGACAUCUUGAUUCACUGGUGAUUUCCAAACUGAGCAUUACGAAACAGGAUCGUAUCAUGUUGCUAGAGGGAAUGCUGCGACAGUAGCCAAUCCGCUGUGCACAGAUGUGAGAAGCUAGUCACAGUUAAAUUGUUUGCUUCAGCAGCUUAGCUCAUUGUGCCCAUGGGAAAUUAAAAGCAGCAUUAGAAGUCUCCAUGAUGUUACAGACCGGCCAGGUCCCUAAAGGUGUGGGAGUUUUGAAUUUCUCAAUCUUAGCAUGUUGGCAGCAUGUUUUUCAAGUGAUCACAAGAAAUUGUGCUAUUGCUUUUCAUUUUAACUAGUGCAGAGUUUCAUCCAUAUCAGCCCUGGAUAAACAAGUCCCAAAGCAACUCACUGGGGGUGAAAAGCUAGCUUACUUAAUAAUAAGCAUUACUGGAUUGCAAAACAAAAUACAAGCGUGAGCUGACUGCUGAAGCUUGAAUCAAUAUCUUGGUAUCCUGCACUUCCAACAUAUUUCUUGGAUUAUUGAUGGACACCAUGUGCCUGUCUGAGUUGCAGAAGAGAAACUUCGGCUGGAAUUUCCUGCAAAACUAAUGAGUACCCUGCCACCACCGAGGACAACGAGAUGUUGGCUGUUCACCUGUCCUGUACCUUGAAUGAAUCUUAUUAACUUAUUUGAGGCAUUCACCGUAGAACAGAGAAGCACAGUAGAAUUAAUGAAAAACUACGCACAAAGGAAGGAUAACAAACAACCAAUGUGCAAAAGAAGACAAACUGCACAAAUAAGAUAAAUAAAUAAAUAAUACAGAGAACGAGCUGCAUUAAUUGGUUUGAAAUAGAAGCCCUUAUUAAUAAUGUCACUAUAAGGAAUGCAUACAGUAUAUGCAACAAGACAUUCUGUAAUUGCUGUGCAAAUUAUUCAAUAAUAGAAAAUUGAAAGGUAUUGAUUGAAUAAGCUCUGAAUUUGGUUUUUAUUUGGAAAUGCUUGAAUUCAAGGUUUGCCCUGAAGAAAUUCACACAAUAAUCUUUGAAUCAUGAAAAAUAGUUACCACUUUUAGAAAUACUUUCUUGUCUCCAUGUGAAGCAUUCAAAAUCUGAUCGAAGUCAUAGCUAUUGGGAUCUGCAAAUUCUAACCCUCACAUAUACAUCCAAAGUGACUGAAAACGGGGGAAAUUUACAUUUCUUCUUUCUUCUAAAAUAUGGAAAUAACAGCUAAAUAAACACUAGAGGGCUUACUUACCCUGUUACAGUGAAGACGUGCCACACUAUUUCAAAAGCUAAGUCAAUGAUGGUGAAGCAAAUAAUUUGUCACAGAUGCAAAGACCACAGUGUGGAAAUUCUGCAAGGUAUAAUUUAAAACUGAUUUAGAAUGUUUAUUAGCAUAUUUACUGCAAAGCUAUUGAAGAAAAUGGCUAGCUUAAAGUACAGCUUGUAUAAUAGCAAAUAUUCUAAAUGUUGUGUUAAAUGAAUGUAAUAUACUUCUAUUCUUCAAGUAUUCAUCAGGGUAAUUCUAAUAGAAUCGUGAGAUCUUUUCAUAAUGGUAAAUUAAUGAACAGCAUAUUUCACAGUUACUUUUUAAGUUAUUUUUUCCUUUUAUUAUAACUAGAUUUUUGAAUGUUAUAUAUGAGAUUAGUGGCUGAAUAAAAACAAUGCUCAAUAUAUUGCCAGGAGGCUAAAGAAUUAAUGUACUACAGACAAGAGUUAUGAUCACAAGUGUCCUUCUGUCCUGUCACUUUGAAUUCAGUAUUAUUCUCCUGCCUUCUUUCUCUAGAAGAAUAUACCAUUGCAUUUGUUAGAGGAGGGUCUGGAACGACUUCUCCCUUGCACGGGCAAAUAUUACCUGUGUCUAUGUGUAUGCACACUGUGUGUUAAGUCUAUGCACUGAAGUCUGAUUUCCAGUCAUCUGAUAUCUCUUAGCUAUUAAACCAAGAUCCCAAUCUGUCAAAUCCAUGUGGUAGACACAGGAGACUGCAAAUGCUGGAAUCUGGGUUGUCUGUAAAUCUGUGCAGUAGUUGAUCACCCCACGCUCAAAGAAUUCACACGACGGCAUCUUUCUCAGAGCUGAAGCACAAGAAAUCUGAAGGAGUACUGAAGAAGAAAGAGCAUAAAUCCCAGUGAUAGAAACUUAUAAAUAAUUAACGUUUGUUUGAAAAUACUCUGUGCAAUAUUUGAAUAUCACCCAGAAAUGGUUUAUUGUUGUGAUCUGUCUGCCAGUCAUAGUACUUUAGUAAUUUAACUUUUAUUAAGUUUGAUAUCUUUUGAUUUUAUUUGCUUCAAACAAAUCUGGCUGCUACAUCUGCCUCUUUGACAUA